AUCAGCAGCCAUAUCACCCUGCACAGAAAACAACUGGCACAACUGGCAACCCACUGAGGCUAAGCAGGUGUGAGCCUGGUCAGUACCUGGAUGGGAGACCUUCUGGGAAAAACUAAGGUUGCUGCUGGAA
rnacentral:rRNA from 1 species